GUGCAUAUCAUCUGCAUACUUUUGAUUGGUUGAUAGUUUUUGUUUUGAAAACAAGCCACUUUUGAUUGGUUUAGGGCACAGGAAGUAAAUUUGUUUAAACAAGCAGGUGUCAGCAACUGAUAAUGAGCUACAUUUUUAGACAUGAUUUAGCAAAUUAAGAUUUUAAAUUGUACUUGUAGUGUCAAAUGUCUUGAAAUACUGUCAGCAUGAAGUAUUGUGUGAUGAAAACAAAGUGUAUUUACAACAAUGUAGUAAAUCAAAGGAGGUCCAAAGUGGCUGGAUACUGAAGAACAGUUGUAACAGGUAAAACUCUUGCCCCAAGGAAAGAAUGUGCAUUAUCACCUGCUAAAAAAGGAAGAAACAGGGGGAUACUGACUGAUGUAUGGACUUUAACACCAGGUUUUUACCCUUCAAGAGUUGGCCAACUAGAGUGAAGCAGGAGAGUGGGCUGUGCUUGACUAAGAAAAGCUGGAUUUGUUGAGAGAUCAAUACGCAUUCAAGAUCCUUAAGAAGAGAAGGACACAAGCAACAUCAGUGGUAGAUGUCACUCCAGCCCCUGCUUUUCCGGUCUCGCCUGCUGCUUUCCAGGUCCCUCCAGCUGCCAAGAUCAGGUCUAGGCACUGGCUGCCAUCCAGGUCCCCCUGGCGGUUGCGGUCGUGUUCUCAAAUGGCUGCUGUACUGGACUACUGGUCCCACCACCAUAUUCGGUCAAGGUCUCUCCAAAUGCUGAAGUCCAGGUUCCUCCGGCCACUGCGGUUCAGGUACCCCCAACAGCUGUGACCUAGUUCUCUGCAGCAGCUGCGAUCUAAAUAUAUUGACCCACUGCGGAACACUGCGUUUAUCGUUUUUUCCAUA